rnacentral:lncRNA from 1 species
AAAUCCAACAUUUUGUUGGAUAAUCCCACUAACUCUUAGUGGGAUAUGUGGCUAUAUGAGAUAUAGACACCUAGCCCACUAAGUUCCACUAAUUGUUAGUGGAACAUUAGCUGUUGAGAUUUGGCAAAUGAAUUGCAUGCAUUUUUGCAUGUAAUUAGGUUAUAAAUAGAGGUGUUUUCAAAUGUUGAAGGACUUUUGCCUCUUUUAUCAUUUUCAUCAUCUCAACAAAAAGAAUUCCAAUCUCAUUUUAUCUCCAUUACUUUCUACACCAAAAUUGGGUCCCACAACCCGGUUCUUUGUCUAGAGGAUAGCAGUUGAGUACUAGUGGUGGUCUCGGUUAGAAUUGGUAAGAAGAUAUCGAACCUUUUGAAAGCUUCAAAGGUAAUAUUUCUUAAAACCCUAAUUUGAUUAGUUUAUGGUUAUAUGUUAAUUGUGACAAUUAGGGUAGAAAUUCGAUUCUUUUCCGCUUUGCAUGACUUAGGUCUAUCACCAUCAACCAGAGAUCCAUGACCAAUUCCAUUCAUAAAUGUGUCCACACCAUUCGGCUUCGGCCCAUUUACCGGCUCACUAGGUUUCAUCAAGUUUUCAUUCAAAACAAUCGGCCCACACGCCUUUGGGCCAAC